UCCCCGGACAGCGGCGGCGAGAAGAACAGGGCCCGGAUGUUGGCCAUGCAGGACCCCGGCCAGGACCCCUUGCGCGCUGCCCCUGCACUGCCUGCAGCACCCCCGCACCACAACGUCGCCUCUCUCGCUACACUUAUUUUUGUAGAUAAUAAACACACUUUAUUUUGAUUGAUUCAAAAUUCUACACGCGAAUUAGUUCUUCGUGUUAUUUUAAUUUGUCUGUUUACCGUCUAUAUUGAUGAAGGCAGUUACCCGGACGUGUAUUCGAAGGCGGAGCUCCACCCACAGAUUUCCCGGAUGCCCAUUUAUAUCGCGGAAUAAAAUUAUUGUUUGACUUUUUCUAAAACAAAAAGGACUGAUUCAAAUGUAUUUGAAAUUCAAUGUUUUUGCAUAAAAUCAUAGCUGAAAAAUAGUACGGAUUGAGAAAAUAUUUUUAUUUCAGGCAACGUCUGUAGACACCUAUAAGGAGCGUGAAUCCCCGGAUGGAGUUGGAAAUAAAACCAAAAAUGUAUGUAUGUUUCAAUGUAAUUAUGAAUAGAUCGCCCGACAGGUUUUAUCAUUGCUCCAAAACACACGAGAUAAAACACUGGUGGACGAAACUGGAGACUGUCAUAACUUCAAGAAGAAUCAAGAACCAUCCAUGCAGCGAACUGCUUGUUAAGCUGCAGCAUGUAAGGAUUUCAUUGUUCCAUUAUCAGAAAAAUUACAAACACUUGAUGGUUGAUACUGGCUUUUCUUGCAUGAUUAUGGGGACUGUUCGAUUCACCUCUACCCCAAUGCGAACAUUGGACUUUGUCUAUGGAACUGAUGUGCUACAAUCCUGCAAAUUAUAUUCUGCACUUCCCCUUUGCUCUAUCUAUUGUACUUGAGCAUAACUUGAUUGUGAUUAUAUUUGUGUAUAGUAUUAUUCAGGAGGGGAACUUGGUUUAGGUUCGUUUAGGUCUAUUACCUUGUACCUUCCAAAGAGUCCACUAUACUGAAAGUUGGACAAUUUUUACAUUGAUCAAGCCAAUUAAUCUACAAACCUGUACGCCUUUGGAAUGUGGGAGGAAACCGAAGAUCUCGGAGAAAACCCACCUAAGUCACGGGAAGAACGUACAAACUCCGUACAGACAGCGCCCGUAGUCAGGAUGGAACCUGGGUCUCCGGCGGUGCAUUUGGCUGCGAGGCAGCAACUCUACCGCUGC